GGGUGAGUGUGUGUGAGUGCAUGGGAGGGUGCUGAAUAUUCCGAGACACUGGGACCACAGCGGCAGCUCCGCUGAAAACUGCAUUCAGCCAGUCCUCCGGACUUCUGGAGCGGGGACAGGGCGCAGGGCAUCAGCAGCCACCAGCAGGACCUGGGAAAUAGGGAUUCUUCUGCCUUCACUUCAGGUUUUAGCAGCUUGGUGCUAAAUUGCUGUCUCAAAAUGCAGAGGAUCUAAUUUGCAGAGGAAAACAGCCAAAGAAGGAAGAGGAGGAAAAGAAAAAAAAAGGGGGUAUAUUGUGGAUGCUCUACUUUCCUGGAAAUGCAAAAGAUUAUGCAUAUUUCUGUCCUCCUUUCUCCUGUUUUAUGGGGACUGAUUUUUGGUGUCUCUUCUAACAGCAUACAGAUAGGGGGGCUGUUUCCUAGGGGCGCCGAUCAAGAAUACAGUGCAUUUCGAGUAGGGAUGGUUCAGUUUUCCACUUCGGAGUUCAGACUGACACCCCACAUCGACAAUUUGGAGGUGGCAAACAGCUUCGCAGUCACCAAUGCUUUCUGCUCCCAGUUUUCGAGAGGAGUCUAUGCUAUUUUUGGAUUUUAUGACAAGAAGUCUGUAAAUACCAUCACAUCGUUUUGCGGAACACUCCACGUCUCCUUCAUCACUCCCAGCUUCCCAACAGAUGGCACACAUCCAUUUGUCAUUCAGAUGAGACCCGACCUCAAAGGAGCACUCCUUAGCUUGAUUGAAUACUAUCAAUGGGACAAGUUUGCAUACCUCUAUGACAGUGACAGAGGCUUAUCAACACUGCAAGCUGUGCUGGAUUCUGCCGCUGAAAAGAAAUGGCAAGUGACUGCUAUCAAUGUGGGAAACAUUAACAAUGACAAGAAAGAUGAGAUGUACCGAUCACUUUUUCAAGAUCUGGAGUUAAAAAAGGAACGGCGUGUAAUUCUGGACUGUGAAAGGGAUAAAGUAAACGACAUUGUAGACCAGGUUAUUACCAUCGGAAAACAUGUUAAAGGGUACCACUACAUCAUUGCAAAUCUGGGAUUUACUGAUGGAGACCUAUUAAAAAUCCAGUUUGGAGGUGCAAAUGUCUCUGGAUUUCAGAUAGUGGACUAUGAUGAUUCAUUGGUGUCUAAAUUUAUAGAAAGAUGGUCAACACUGGAAGAAAAAGAAUACCCUGGAGCACACACAACGACAAUUAAGUAUACUUCUGCUCUGACCUAUGAUGCCGUUCAAGUGAUGACUGAAGCCUUCCGCAACCUAAGGAAGCAAAGAAUUGAAAUCUCCCGAAGGGGGAAUGCGGGAGACUGUCUGGCGAACCCAGCAGUGCCCUGGGGACAAGGUGUAGAAAUAGAAAGGGCCCUCAAACAGGUUCAGGUUGAAGGUCUCUCAGGAAAUAUAAAGUUUGACCAGAAUGGAAAAAGAAUAAACUAUACAAUUAACAUCAUGGAGCUCAAAACUAACGGGCCCCGGAAGAUUGGCUACUGGAGUGAAGUGGACAAAAUGGUUGUUACUCUUACUGAGCUGCCUUCUGGAAAUGAUACCUCUGGGCUUGAGAAUAAGACUGUUGUUGUCACCACAAUUUUGGUAAUUUGCUACAUAUGCCAUGUUUUACUUUGUAUUUUCUUAUGGCUAAUAUCUGCAGGAGUAGCUAUUUAUAUUUUAGGAGAAUAAUAUCUGUUUUGCUUCUUUUGCAAUGUUUUAAUCAUUUAUUGCAUAUUUACUCUGUUAAAAGGAAUACACAAGAUCUAGCUAAAGCAUUGAAAAUGUUCCCCAUUUUCUUUAAGGAAUGCUACAGUUUACACAGAUAAUUCCUACCCUGGUGAUUACAUCAGUGAACAAUUGGGGAAUGUUUUGAAGAGUGUUCCUCAUAUUUCUGCGAGUUCUUCACUUUUCCAUUCCCACCCAAUACUGUGUAAAUUCUUUCUUUCCCUUUGUUACAUGAUUUCAUGAUGAUGUCGAGUUGUCUUUAUUCUAUCUAAUGAAAGAUGAUCUCCUUAAAGAUAAGGAUUAUUUCCCUUGUUUUUACUCCAAAUUUCAGCACUGGUUGGCACAUAGCUAGUACACAAUAAAUGCAUAUUGAAUGAAUAAGGAAAACUUGAACUGGAUCUUCAACACCCAGGCUUUGGAUAGAUGGAGGAGAGAUGUGGAUCAGCAUGACAAGCUGUUGGUGAAAUGAGAUGGAGAAAAUGGUGUUCGUUAUAGGACAGAAUUUUGUGACAAAAUAUUUUGUUGUAUUUUCUUUUACAAAAAAAAAUAGCCUUAGCAGUGAAGUUGUAAAUUGGUGUGAUUUAUUCUCCUAACAAUAUUGAGAGCAGAUAUAGACAGAUUGAUAAGGGAUUUGAAUUAAAACAUUGGUAGGCAAUUGAAAAUCUCUUGAUACGUGCAAAUUAGACAUUUGAGGAUUUUUGCCUUUAUCAUGCCAUUGAGAGGAACUAUCUCAUUGAGACCCCAAAUAUCCUCAGUGCCACUUUCCAGUGGAGAAUAUUGGACUGUGUUGAUUCAUUUUUUCUUGCUUCCUUUUUCUUAUGUUUACAGGGGGAAGCUACUCUCUAGCUAUCCUUGUAGCGUCAUUCUAGGAUAUUGUAUCUCACAGAUGAAGUGAGACCUGAAGCCUGCGGGGGUAGAAUCAGUACAUCAUCAUGACAAUGAUCCUUUCAGUUUGUGUAUCACUGGCCAUGAACCUGAUUUCCACAUGAACCUUAUCUUUGGGACAGCAGUAACACAGGGUUUUGGGUGAAUGCUGGUUUUGGGAUUGGCUUAACCUUAAUCAAGGAUAAGGGUGUGGUGAAUCCAAACUUGAAUAAAAUAGGUGUUGAGCAGUAAUAUUUUGCUCUAAGUCCUAGUAAUGACAAACAUGGCUAGAGAACAUACAAAGAGUUUGUGAUUUUGAGUGUCUUGUUAACUCAGUAUGCUUGUGUACAAGCCAUCUUAAUGAAUUAUAGUGAUAGACAUUCCGAGGCUUUCUGGGGGGAAGCAUUAUGCUUAAAUUAUUCCUCUACUGUUGAGUGUUCACUAUCUAUAUUCUUCAUUCACUCUGGCUAACGGGUAAUAAUUAAACCAGAAGAUUUGAUUCAGUGAGAGUACAUAAUUAACAUAGAUAUUUUAAUCAGCUAAAGCAAAGUCUUUUCAUAUAGGAAUCUCCGUAUGUUAUGAUGAAGAAAAAUCAUGAAAUGCUUGAAGGCAAUGAGCGCUAUGAGGGCUACUGUGUUGACCUGGCUGCAGAAAUCGCCAAACAUUGUGGGUUCAAGUACAAGUUGACGAUUGUUGGUGAUGGCAAGUAUGGGGCCAGGGAUGCAGACACGAAAAUUUGGAAUGGGAUGGUUGGAGAACUUGUAUAUGGGAAAGCUGAUAUUGCAAUUGCUCCAUUAACUAUUACCCUUGUGAGAGAAGAGGUGAUUGACUUCUCAAAGCCCUUCAUGAGCCUCGGGAUAUCUAUCAUGAUCAAGAAGCCUCAGAAGUCCAAACCAGGAGUGUUUUCCUUUCUUGAUCCUUUAGCCUAUGAGAUCUGGAUGUGCAUUGUUUUUGCCUACAUUGGGGUCAGUGUAGUUUUAUUCCUGGUCAGCAGAUUUAGCCCCUACGAGUGGCACACUGAGGAGUUUGAAGAUGGAAGAGAAACACAAAGUAGUGAAUCAACUAAUGAAUUUGGGAUUUUUAAUAGUCUCUGGUUUUCCUUGGGUGCCUUUAUGCAGCAAGGAUGCGAUAUUUCGCCAAGAUCCCUCUCUGGGCGCAUUGUUGGAGGUGUGUGGUGGUUCUUUACCCUGAUCAUAAUCUCCUCCUACACGGCUAACUUAGCUGCCUUCCUGACUGUAGAGAGGAUGGUGUCUCCCAUCGAAAGUGCUGAGGAUCUUUCUAAGCAAACAGAAAUUGCUUAUGGAACACUAGACUCUGGCUCCACUAAAGAGUUUUUCAGGAGAUCUAAAAUUGCAGUGUUUGAUAAAAUGUGGACCUACAUGCGGAGUGCGGAGCCCUCUGUGUUUGUGAGGACUACGGCCGAAGGGGUGGCUAGAGUGCGGAAGUCCAAAGGGAAAUAUGCCUACUUGUUGGAGUCCACGAUGAACGAGUACAUUGAGCAAAGGAAGCCUUGUGACACCAUGAAAGUUGGUGGAAACCUGGAUUCCAAAGGCUAUGGCAUCGCAACACCUAAAGGAUCCUCAUUAAGAACCCCAGUAAAUCUUGCAGUAUUGAAACUCAGUGAGCAAGGCGUCUUAGACAAGCUGAAAAACAAAUGGUGGUACGAUAAAGGUGAAUGUGGAGCCAAGGACUCUGGAAGUAAGGAAAAGACCAGUGCCCUCAGUCUGAGCAACGUUGCUGGAGUAUUCUACAUCCUUGUCGGGGGCCUUGGUUUGGCAAUGCUGGUGGCUUUGAUUGAGUUCUGUUACAAGUCAAGGGCCGAGGCGAAACGAAUGAAGGUGGCAAAGAAUGCACAGAAUAUUAACCCAUCUUCCUCGCAGAAUUCACAGAAUUUUGCAACUUAUAAGGAAGGUUACAACGUAUAUGGCAUCGAAAGUGUUAAAAUUUAGGGGAUGACCUUGAAUGAUGCCAUGAGGAACAAGGCAAGACUGUCAAUUACAGGAAGUACUGGAGAAAAUGGACGUGUUAUGACUCCAGAAUUUCCCAAAGCAGUGCAUGCUGUCCCUUACGUGAGUCCUGGCAUGGGAAUGAAUGUCAGUGUGACUGAUCUCUCGUGAUUGAUAAGAACCUUUUGAGUGCCUUACACAAUGGUUUCCUUGUGUGUUUAUUGUCAAAGUGGUGAGAGGCAUCCAGUAUCUUGAAGACGUUUCUUUCAGCCAAGAAUUCUUAAAUAUGUGGAGUUCAUCUUGAAUUGUAAGGAAUGAUUAAUUAAAACACAACAUCCUUUUCUACUCGAGUUACAGACAAAGCGUGGUGGACAUGCACAGCUAACAUGGAAGUACUAUAAUUUACCUGAAGUCUUUGUACAGACAACAAACCUGUUUCUGCAGCCACUAUUGUUAGUCUCUUGAUUCAUAAUGACUUAAGCACACUUGACAUCAACUGCAUCAAGAUGUGACAUGUUUUAUAAAAAAAGGAAAAAAAAACAUUUAAAAUUAAAAAAAUAUUUUUAGGUAUUUUCACAAACAAACUGGCUUUUAAAUAAAUUUGCUUCCAUAUUGGUUGAAUAAGACAAAAACAAUUAAACUGAGUGGGAAGUGAAUAAAAAAAGGCUUUAGGUAUCAGUUCCAUAUUUUUCAAAGCCAAAUAUGUAAAUGCUAAGGAAAGAAAACAGAGAGGAGAUUCCAAUCUUGUAAUUUAAUAUUGUUAUUAAAACUUUAAUGUAUCCUAUUCUUUAACAUUUGGUGUUAAUAUAAAAUUACUUGGCAAUGCUUGACAUUUGAAAUAAACAUUUUUCUAUUGUUUUA
rnacentral:sRNA from 1 species